GCCUCGGUAGUGCAGUUGGUUAGCAUACGCCCCGGGAAGGGUGAACCGCGAGUUCGAUUCUUGCCCAAAGUU